GGGGGGGGGGGGGGGGGGGGGGGGGGGGGGGGGGGGGGGGGGGAGGGGGCGUGUGGGGGUGCGGGGGUGGGGAGCGGGGGAGUAAGGCGGGAGGAAGGUGCGCGUGAGUUCGGGAUAACUUCAGGAAACUGGGGCUAAUACAGGAUAGGAAGCCUGGCUGCAUGGUGGGGGUUGGGAAGGUUCGGCGGUUGUGGAUGGAAUCGCGGCUUAUCAGCUUGUUGGUGGGGUAGUGGCUUACCAAGGCUUUGACGGGUAGCCGGCCUGAGAGGGCGACCGGCCACAUUGGGACUGAGAUACGGCCCAGACUCCUACGGGAGGCAGCAGUGGGGAAGAUUGCACAAUGGGCGGAAGCCUGAUGCAGCAACGCCGCGUGCGGGAUGACGGCCUUCGGGUUGUAAACCGCGUUCAGCAGGGGCGAAGCGUGUGGUGACGGUACCUGCAGAAGAAGCACCGGCUAACUACGUG
rnacentral:rRNA from 1 species